rnacentral:tRNA from 1 species
ACAUUGGUAGUUCAGUGGUAGAAUUCUCGCCUCCCAUGAGGGAGGCCCAGGUUCAGUUCCUGGCCAGUACA